rnacentral:rRNA from 1 species
GCGGACGGGUGAGUAACACGUGGGCAACCUGCCUGUAAGACUGGGAUAACUCCGGGAAACCGGGGCUAAUACCGGAUAACCCGUUCCACCUCAUGGUGGAGCGGUAAAAGAUGGCCUCUGGCUAUCACUUACAGAUGGGCCCGCGGCGCAUUAGCUAGUUGGUAAGGUAACGGCUUACCAAGGCGACGAUGCGUAGCCGACCUGAGAGGGUGAUCGGCCACACUGGGACUGAGACACGGCCCAGACUCCUACGGGAGGCAGCAGUAGGGAAUCUUCCGCAAUGGACGAAAGUCUGACGGAGCAACGCCGCGUGAGUGAUGAAGGUUUUCGGAUCGUAAAGCUCUGUUGUUAGGGAAGAACAAGUGCCGUUUGAAUAAGGCGGCACCUUGACGGUACCUAACCAGAAAGCCACGGCUAACUACGUGCCAGCAGCCGCGGUAAUACGUAGGUGGCAAGCGUUGUCCGGAAUUAUUGGGCGUAAAGCGCGCGCAGGCGGUCUCUUAAGUCUGAUGUGAAAGCCCACGGCUCAACCGUGGAGGGUCAUUGGAAACUGGGAGACUUGAGUACAGAAGAGGAGAGUGGAAUUCCACGUGUAGCGGUGAAAUGCGUAGAUAUGUGGAGGAACACCAGUGGCGAAGG